rnacentral:rRNA from 1 species
GACGAACGCUGGCGGCGUGCCUAAUACAUGCAAGUAGAACGCUGAAGGAGGAGCUUGCUUCUCUGGAUGAGUUGCGAACGGGUGAGUAACGCGUAGGUAACCUGCCUGGUAGCGGGGGAUAACUAUUGGAAACGAUAGCUAAUACCGCAUAAGAGUAGAUGUUGCAUGACAUUUGCUUAAAAGGUGCAAUUGCAUCACUACUAGAUGGACCUGCGUUGUAUUAGCUAGUUGGUGGGGUAACGGCUCACCAAGGCGACGAUACAUAGCCGACCUGAGAGGGUGAUCGGCCACACUGGGACUGGGGCACGGCCCAGAAUCCUACGGGAGGCAGCAGUAGGGAAUCUUCGGCAAUGGACGGAAGUCUGACCGAGCAACGCCGCGUGAGUGAAGAAGGUUUUCGGAUCGUAAAACUCUGUUGUGAGAGAAGAACGAGUGUGAGAGUGGAAAGUUCACACUGUGACGGUAUCUUACCAGAAAGGGACGGCUAACUACGUG